AUAAUACUCGUCCCUCUUCUUCUGGUACUCGGCUUGUUGUCUCUAGUAUUCAGAUUGUUGCCUCUGGUACUCCAAUUGUUCCCUCAAGACUGAUUGAUGGUACUCUGCCUGUUGACGCAACACUGCAAGCUCUAUCUCAUGGGCGGAUGAUCGUGAACGGGACGACUGUGAAGACGACGAUGUGGACUAUCGUCCACGGCGUCUCAGCUCUCUGGAAUCAAUCGUAGAAUCAAAAAACCCAACCUACAAGAGUGAACCAUGCACUUAGUAUAGUAACUCAUGGCUCAGUUGAAUCGCAAGCAUAUGAUGACAAUUUUGAAAACCAAAUCAAAUAAUCUCACCGUCCAUGAGCUUG
rnacentral:lncRNA from 1 species